UACGAAGGGGGCUAGCGUUGUUCGGAAUUACUGGGCGUAAAGCGUGCGCAGGCGGCUUCUCAAGUCAGGGGUGAAAGCCCAGAGCUCAACUCUGGAAUUGCCUUUGAGACUGAGUGGCUUGAGUACGAGAGAGGUGAGUGGAAUUCCCAGUGUAGAGGUGAAAUUCGUAGAUAUUCGCAAGAACACCAGUGGCGAAGGCGGCUCACUGGUCCGGUACUGACGCUGAGGUGCGAAAGCGUGGGGAGCAAACAGG
rnacentral:rRNA from 1 species